rnacentral:rRNA from 1 species
AUUGCCCUAGUAACGGCGAGUGAAGCGGCAACAGCUCAAAUUUGAAAUCUGGCUUCCUUGGGAGUCCGAGUUGUAAUUUGCAGAGGGCGCUUUGGCGUCGGUAGCGGUCUAAGUUCCUUGGAACAGGACGUCACAGAGGGUGAGAAUCCCGUACGUGGUCGACUGCCUUCGCCGUGUAAAGCCCCUUCGACGAGUCGAGUUGUUUGGGAAUGCAGCUCUAAAUGGGAGGUAAAUUUCUUCUAAAGCUAAAUACUGGCCAGAGACCGAUAGCGCACAAGUAGAGUGAUCGAAAGAUGAAAAGCACUUUGGAAAGAGAGUCAAACAGCACGUGAAAUUGUUGAAAGGGAAGCGCUUGCCGCCAGACAUGCCUGUGGUGGUUCUCCUCCGCGGGCAGGCCAGCAUCAGUUUGGGCGAUCGGAUAAAGGCCUCUGUCAUGUAUCUCCCUUCGGGGUGACCUUAUAGGGGAGGCGUACUGCGAUCAGCCUGGACUGAGGUCCGCGCAUCCGCUAGGAUGCUGGCGUAAUGGCUGUAAGCGGCCCGUCUUGAAACACGGACCAAGGAGUCUAACAUCUAUGCGAGUGUUUGGGUGUCAAGCCCGAGCGCGCAAUGAAAGUGAACGGAGGUGGGAACCCUUUGGGUGCACCAUCGACCGAUCCUGAAGUCUUCGGAUGGAUUUGAGUAAGAGCAUGGCUGUUGGGACCCGAAAGAUGGUGAACUAUGCUUGAAUAGGGUGAAGCCAGAGGAAACUCUGGUGGAGGCUCGCAGCGGUUCUGACGUGCAAAUCGAUCGUCAAAUUUGGGCAUAGGGGCGAAAGACUAAU